UUUUUUAUUUUAUUCUCCUCUCUUUUACAUGAUCUUCAUUGAAUGCUUGCAAUUAUUUUAUCAUGCACGCACUGCAAUGACGAUUGUUGCAUUUUGGAGCACACGCGGACUCAAACCAUCACACGGUGCGCAAAGGCGUUUCAUGCACUCACUGCAAGGACGAUGCAGGCCUGGAUCCAGUCAGCUCGAGGAGGGUUUAAGUGGGUAAGGCAUCGAUCGUACCACAUGAUUCGAGUGGUUGCGGACGAUGAAUUCCACACUACCCAGGCAUCGGUGUCUUAAGAAGGUUUUCGUCACGUUUGAACCGGCUAUUCACUAACAAUACAUCUACCAGAACCUAGAACAAGACGGCAGCAAAAUACAAACAAUACAUGUGUACAUCUUCCUUGGCUAUCCUUACUGCAUUUUCGUUUCAUGCAGCGCCUGCAACCAAAACGAUCACGUAACCAACGGGACAAUCAAUUGAACUUCCAUGCUGGAAGGUGGAGCUUUACUUCAUGCACCACGUUCCAUGCGCACCUAACUUUGACUGAACACCCCACAUUUCCAGGCUCUCCAGCAAUCUUUCCUUGGGAUGCCAUGAGGCUUUCAAUUUCCACGAGGA